UGCCAGCAGCCGCGGUAAUACGGAGGGUGCAAGCGUUGUUCGGAUUUAUUAGGUUUAAAGGGUACGUAGGCGGCUAUACAAGUUGGGUGUGAAAUCCCACGGCUCAACCGUGGAACUGCGCUCAAAACUGUACAGCUAGAGGGAGACAGGGGUGAGCGGAACUGAUGGUGGAGCGGUGAAAUGCGUUGAUAUCAUCAGGAACACCGGUGGCGAAGGCGGCUCACUGGGUCUCUUCUGACGCUGAGGUACGAAAGCUAGGGUAGCGAACGGGAUUAGAUA
rnacentral:rRNA from 1 species